rnacentral:rRNA from 1 species
CUACGUGCCAGCAGCCGCGGUAAUACGGGGGGUGCGAGCGUUAAUCGGAAUAACUGGGCGUAAAGGGCACGCAGGCGGUGACUUAAGUGAGAUGUGAAAGCCCCGAGCUUAACUUGGGAAUUGCAUUUCAUACUGGGUCGCUAGAGUACUUUAGGGAGGGGUAGAAUUCCACGUGUAGCGGUGAAAUGCGUAGAGAUGUGGAGGAAUACCGGUGGCGAAGGCGGCCCCCUGGACAAAGACUGACGCUCAGGUGCGAAAGCGUGGGGAGCAAACAGGAUUAGAUACCCUGGUAGUCCACGCCGUAAACGAUGUCGACUUGGAGGUUGUUCCCUUGAGGAGUGGCUUCCGGAGCUAACGCGUUAAGUCGACCGCCUGAGGAGUACGGCCGCAAGGUUAAAACUCAAAUGAAUUGACGGGGGCCCGCACAAGCGGUGGAGCAUGUGGUUUAAUUCGAUGCAACGCGAAGAACCUUACCUACUCUUGACAUCCAGAGAACAUUC